AGCUUUGCGUAGUGGCAGUAUCGUAGCCAAUGAGGUUUAUACGAGGCGCGAUUAUUGCUAAUUGGAGCUGUUCUUAGAAUUGAGUAUUAUUAUAGAUGGUUUCCUAUUUCUUCAUCAUCAUUAUCAU
rnacentral:snRNA from 1 species